UACGGAGGGGGCUAGCGUUGUUCGGAAUUACUGGGCGUAAAGCGCGCGUAGGCGGCUUAUCAAGUCAGGGGUGAAAUCCUGGGGCUUAACCCCAGAAUUGCCUUUGAAACUGGUAGCUUGAGUGUCGGAGGGGAUAGCGGAAUUGCUAAUGUAGAGGUGAAAUUCGUAGAUAUUAGCAGGAACACCGGUGGCGAAGGCGGCUAUCUGGACGACAACUGACGCUGAGGCGCGAAAGCGUGGGGAUCAAACAGG
rnacentral:rRNA from 1 species